UAGGGAAUAUUGCACAAUGGGCGAAAGCCUGAUGCAGCAACGCCGCGUGUGCGAUGAAGGCCUUCGGGUCGUAAAGCACUUUUCUGGGAGAUGAGAAAGGACAGUAUCCCAGGAAUAAGUCUCGGCUAACUACGUGCCAGCAGCCGCGGUAAAACGUAGGAGGCGAGCGUUAUCCGGAUUCACUGGGUGUAAAGCGCGUGCAGGCGGUUCGGUAAGUUGGGCGUGAAAUCUCCUGGCUCAACUAGGAGAGGUCGUCCAAUACUACCGGGCUUGAGAGCGGUAGAGGAAGAUGGAAUUCCCGGUGUAGUGGUGAAAUGCGUAAGUAUCGGGAGGAACACCAGUGGCGAAGGCGAUCUUCUGGACCGUUUCUGACGCUCAGACGCGACAGCUAGGGUAGCAAACGAG
rnacentral:rRNA from 1 species